rnacentral:rRNA from 1 species
AUACAACUUUCAGCAACGGAUCUCUUGGCUCUCGCAUCGAUGAAGAACGCAGCGAAAUGCGAUAAGUAAUGUGAAUUGCAGAAUUCAGUGAAUCAUCGAAUCUUUGAACGCACCUUGCGCCCCUUGGCCAUUCCGAGGGGCAUGCCUGUUUGAGUAUC